UUUACCCGGCAGGAGAAUCGGGAAGGCGGUGCGAAUCCGCCACGCGCCCAGCGCUGUGAGGAGGACGGGCGAUGCACGAAGUCACUGCUGCGGCGGGAAGGCGCAUCGUCCGGGUGAAUCCGAGUCAGAAGACCGGCCGGGAGACGU
rnacentral:ncRNA from 1 species